CCCAUCAGGCAACGCUCAAGUUUGGUGUGUGUUAACAAUCAAAACCUGAUGGCUUCCCACGGGUCCCAGGCUCCUGAAUGAUAUGGGCUGCUGACAGGUGCUGCUGGAGGCUGAGAGAUGGAAAAUCAAGGAUGCCCUGACAUGGUCUGUCACUAGCUUGAAGAGAAGAAAGCAGGAUCCAGUCUUUUGUUAUUUACUGAUGUCACUGCAACCUGGGAGAGAAAUCAACACGGUCAUGAAUUAUGGCCCAUGCUGGUAGGACAUUUCAUUCUGUUUGAUUUAGUGGGAAAAAAUCUCAGAUAA